UACGUAGGCAGCAAGCGUUGUUCGGAGUUACUGGGCGUAAAGGGUGCGUAGGCGGUCCUAUAAGUAUGGUGUGAAAUCUCCCGGCUUAACUGGGAGGGUGCGCUAUAGACUGUGGGACUAGAGUGUGGGAGAGGAAAGUGGAAUUCCUGGUGUAGCGGUGAAAUGCGUAGAUAUCAGGAGGAACACCGGUGGUGUAAACGGCUUUCUGGACCAUAACUGACGCUGAGGCGCGAAAGCGUGGGUAGCAAACAGG
rnacentral:rRNA from 1 species